rnacentral:rRNA from 1 species
AGGCGGUGACUUAAGUGAGGUGUGAAAGCCCCGGGCUUAACCUGGGAAUUGCAUUUCAUACUGGGUCGCUAGAGUACUUUAGGGAGGGGUAGAAUUCCACGUGUAGCGGUGAGAUGCGUAGAGAUGUGGAGGAAUACCGAAGGCGAAGGCAGCCCCUUGGGAAUGUACUGACGCUCAUGUGCGAAAGCGUGGGGAGCAAACAAG